rnacentral:rRNA from 1 species
UACGUAGGCAGCGAGCGUUGUUCGGAGUUACUGGGCGUCAAGGGUGUGUAGGCGGUUCUUUAAGUUUGGUGGGAAAUCUCCCGGCUCAACCGGGAGGGUGCGCCGAAUACUGAGGGACUAGAGUGCGGGAGAGGAAAGUGGAAUUCCUGGUGUAGCGGUGAAAUGCGUAGAUAUCAGGAGGAACACCGGUGGUGUAGACGGCUUUCUGGACCGUAACUGACGCUGAGACACGAAAGCGUGGGUAGCAAACAGG